UAAACAUUGAUAAUUAAUGUUUUUUAUAAAUUUAAUUCAAUAUAAUGAAUUAAUUUAUUAACUUGCUUUUUUUAAUCCUUUCUAUUAUUAAUUCUGCUUAUGAUCGUUUAAUCCAUUUCACAUAUUGCUAAGAUAGCUAAGAUAGCGACAUCUGCAUCGUAUCUCGUUCAAAAUUAUAUAUUUCAUGGAAAUUCGUGUUAUUUUGUUUAUAAAGAAUGUUCGAUCGAUUUAAAAUUGCUUUUCGUGCAAAUACAUUUGUCAGUAUCCCUAUUUCUUUUUUAUUGGCUGUUGCCAAAGCCACCUAUUUUUAAAAGACAAUCAUAAUGAGAACUUGUGUAAAACGAUUACUUCAUUAUUGUUGACUUAAUCAUGUUUCAUUUGAUUUUGACGAGGAAAUUUAAACCAAAUGUGCUGACAAAUGUGUGGAAAUGAAAUUGUCUAGUAAUAGCUAAACUAUUUUGUAGAGAUAAAAAACCAGAAAACAUUAUUUCUUAGUCUGAAAUAUUUAAUGAAACGUCAGUACAAGAAGAAGCGGCAUCGCAAGAAAUUGGAGAAGAUGAAUAAAUCCUAAUCGCAAAUCUUGGCCAAAAUGUAAUUCGCUUGAAGCUGUAAAAAAUGAGGUAUAUUGAAUUAAUACACACACAAACGCGCGCGCACACGCACAUACUAUAAAUUAUAAAAUUAAUACGUAUAAUUAAAAUUUUUUAUAUUUACUGUAUUUCACCUGGGUUGAUGAAAAAAUACAACAAUUCUGACGACGUAUCUUAUAUUACUAAUCAAUUAGCAAUAAAACAAAUUUGGAGAA